rnacentral:ncRNA from 1 species
UGGCUUGGGCGAAAGCUCUGGGGCCAUCGCAGGCGGGGAGCAUAUCC